rnacentral:tRNA from 1 species
UCUUAAGGUAAAGAAUCUGCCUGCAAUGCAGGAGACCCAGGUUCCAUCCCUGG